rnacentral:miRNA from 1 species
CUUGUAACCUGAGUAGAGGCA